rnacentral:rRNA from 1 species
GAUGAACGCUAGCUACAGGCUUAACACAUGCAAGUCGAGGGGCAGCAUGGUCUUAGCUUGCUAAGGCCGAUGGCGACCGGCGCACGGGUGAGUAACACGUAUCCAACCUGCCGUCUACUCUUGGACAGCCUUCUGAAAGGAAGAUUAAUACAAGAUGGCAUCAUGAGUCCGCAUGUUCACAUGAUUAAAGGUAUUCCGGUAGACGAUGGGGAUGCGUUCCAUUAGAUAGUAGGCGGGGUAACGGCCCACCUAGUCUUCGAUGGAUAGGGGUUCUGAGAGGAAGGUCCCCCACAUUGGAACUGAGACACGGUCCAAACUCCUACGGGAGGCAGCAGUGAGGAAUAUUGGUCAAUGGGCGAGAGCCUGAACCAGCCAAGUAGCGUGAAGGAUGACUGCCCCAUGGGUUGUAAACUUCUUUUAUAAAGGAAUAAAGUCGGGUAUGGAUACCCGUUUGGCAUUUAUUUUAUGAAUUAAGAUCGGGCUAACUCCGUGCCCAGCAGCCGCGGUAAUACGGAAGAUCCGAACGUUAUCCCGAUUUAUUGGGGUUAAAGGGAGCGUAGAAUGAUGUUUAAGUCCAUUGGUGAAAGUUGCGGGCUCAACCGUAAAAAUUGCAGUUGAUACUGGAUAUCUUGAGUGCAGUUGAGGCAGGCGGAAUUCGCGGUGUAGCGGUGAAAUGCUUAGAUAUCACGAAGAACUCCGAUUGCGAAGGCAGCCUGCUAAGCUGCAACUGACAUUGAGGCUCGAAAGUGUGGGUAUCAAACAGGAUUAGAUACCCUGGUAGUCCACACGGUAAACGAUGAAUACUCGCUGUUUGCGAUAUACUGCAAGCGGCCAAGCGAAAGCGUUAAGUAUUCCACCUGGGGAGUACGCCGGCAACGGUGAAACUCAAAGGAAUUGACGGGGGCCCGCACAAGCGGAGGAACAUGUGGUUUAAUUCGAUGAUACGCGAGGAACCUUACCCGGGCUUAAAUUGCAGAUGAAUUACGGUGAAAGCCGUAAGCCGCAAGGCAUCUGUGAAGGUGCUGCAUGGUUGUCGUCAGCUCGUGCCGUGAGGUGUCGGCUUAAGUGCCAUAACGAGCGCAACCCUUGUUGUCAGUUACUAACAGGUUCCGCUGAGGACUCUGACAAGACUGCCGUCGUAAGAUGUGAGGAAGGUGGGGAUGACGUCAAAUCAGCACGGCCCUUACGUCCGGGGCUACACACGUGUUACAAUGGGGGGUACAGAGGGUCGCUACCACGCGAGUGGAUGCCAAUCCCCAAAACCUCUCUCAGUUCGGACUGGAGUCUGCAACCCGACUCCACGAAGCUGGAUUCGCUAGUAAUCGCGCAUCAGCCACGGCGCGGUGAAUACGUUCCCGGGCCUUGUACACACCGCCCGCCAAGCCAUGGGAGCCGGGGGUACCUGAAGUGCGUAACCGCGAGGAGCGCCCUAGGGUAAAACUGGUGACUGGGGCUA